CCAAUAUUACUCUCAAUACCCCACCCCCACAUGCCCCCUUCCCGUAGUUGUAAUAUUGGGCUUCAUGUUCCAGGGGUUGGUGGGCUUUUUAAUGCUAACAUGAUUUUGCAACUUAGGAGCCUAAAGAUCUUAUAUGCAUGCCUCCACCUGGAAAUGUUGACCUAUUUUUGCUGCAGAUCACCCAGCUGAGGCAUGCUGUUGUCUCCCACACUCCCUUUUACUGGAAUGUCCUCACUCUUUGAAUAUUUUCAGGGGGAAACCUGACUAGGCAUUACCAUCACCUGCAAAGGUCAGGACUCCCCUGUGGCCUAAUUAAGUGGCUUGGCUGUCAGCUACCCAGACCCUGUGAAGUCCCAUGUUCUUGGCUCCCUUGUUACCUACUUCAUGGGGUGGUACUGGUCAUUCAGAAAUCUGAGCUGCAUUCAGAGGAGACCUGCAUCUAAUACCUGUCAUGAGAUCUGUCAGCAUCUGGUAGUGCUGAACUUUCCACACUAAACAGACUUGGAACACAUUGAAUGAAAACUCAAAACCCACAACAUGGGGAUCAAGAACUGGGAAGUGUUUUGAUGUUGUGUAGUCACCAUGACUCAGGAAAGUCAGAGAGGAAUCCUGUCUCAGAUUAAUUCCUAAGGAUGGGUGGGUGUCUGUGUGGUAUGUGACCCUUUAACUAACUUGUGCAAGGGGGGUUUGAGAAAUUCAUGGAACAAUGGCAAUGAACUAUGUAGGAUUGUACAACCUUUUGGAGCCCCUUCGCGGGAUUAUGAUUUUUAGCUUAGUAUGUUGAUGACUUUUUUAAAGGCUGCAUAUUGGAUCCAGUGAAUGAAGUUUGCUGCCCAGAGUUGGUGACAACUGUAAUCCAGAGUGGGCUUGCAGCUGAGUCAAAUUCAGUGCCUGCCGCACCCAUGGCUGGCACUGGCCCAAAAGGCUGCCACAGAGACACUGUAACUCAUGGGCCCUGUUCCUCUCUGCUGAGCCUCAGGGAUAAAUUUUGUUACAGACAUUGAGAGAAAAAAAUACACCCCGUGAAAAGAGAAGGAUCUUAAUAAACAUAGUACAUCCAUGCUGAGGAAUGCCAGGAAAUAAAUUGGGUAUGCAUGCCAAAGUACACAAAAAAACCCCACCCAUAACCUUACAGCCAGCCUCCAACACAGGUGUAAAAGUACUCAUUGAAGUUUAUGCAAGGGGUUUACAUGUUCAGAGACUUGGGUCAGUGAUUUUGGAUGUGUCUUAACUGUCACAAGUGAGUGGCUUUAACAAAUGUGUUUUCUCAUAGACCAGAAGUCAAAGUACAGUUGCCAGUUGGAGGGGAAAGCUGUCUCCAUCAGACAAGGUCCGUGUUGACGUUCCUGCGGGUCGGGACAUUUGGUGCCCAAUGUAGGGCCCGAAUACGAGGGACAUUGUGAGGAAGAAGGCGUCGAAAAAGGUCGACAUCAUGGGUGAAAAAGAAAAUCGUUUGACUGCCGCAGGAGCUUGCCGCGCCAGAACUGAAAAAAUGAAUCCUGGCAACUUACUCCUGUGGACCACAAUCCUGCAUUAUUAUAUGACUGGGAUCCAUGCUGGCCUUGGUGACCCUGGCAAGGCUCAUGCCAUACUACAGCAACGAUGUACAAGCUUUAUCAAGCACCACACAAGAUAUUCAAGAUCAAGUGGGCUCCUUAGCAGAAGAUUUGUUACAGAAUAGAAGAGGUCGAGAUUUACUUACAGCAGAGCAAGGAGGUAUUUGUUUAGCUUUACAGGAAAGAUGCUGCGUUUAUGCCAACAAGUCUGGGAUUGUCAGAGACAAGAUCAAGCAACUACAAGAAGACCUGGAGAAGCGAAGAAAAGAAUUGGCCGCCAACCCGGUCCAAAGCGGGUUGAACAGGUUUUUGCCCUACCUUUUACUGCUUUUGGGCCCUUUGAUUGGCCUAUUGCUUUUGCUCUCAUUAGGGCCUGUAGUAUUUAACAAGCUCAUGGCUUUUGUCAAGUAACAGAUUGAAGCCAUCCAGGCAAAGCCUAUACAGGUCCAGUAGCAUCGCCGUGAGAUGAUUGAUCAGGGCGGCUCGCACGGUUAUGACGCGGUAAGACCCCUUCCCCUGUACGCUGAGCUGGUUAGCCGAUGACGGGUAAGCCUAAGACAGGCCCUAGUCGCCCAAGAGGACUAAUGACCGAUGACGGGUAAGCCUAAGACAGGCCCUAGUCGCCCAAGAGGACUAAUGACCGAUGACGGGUAAGGAUGCUCUUGAGGCUUCACAACCUAAGACAGGCGCAGCUCCUAAGGGGUCUCUUGGUUUUGAAAAAAUAAAAAAGGGGGACCUGUCCGGACCCCUGAGGCCCGGUCGCAACCUUGCCGGCUUAGAGUCACGUAGCCCGGCCGGAAUCUUGACUUUUGCAAUGCUUGAGCUCUAAUUUUCCACUUUACUGCCUCAAUAACAGUUUGUUCCUGCAGGGGCGCGUUUGACAUUUUGAGUUGGCCAAAAAUACCGAGGAAUUUUCUGCUCACAGGAACUGUUGCCUUGUGGUUAGGAUUCUUAAGGAAACAUCUGUGGCUUACUUCCUUUUCCUUUACCCUAUAUAAACUGUAACCACCCACCCAUUAAAUGAGACUUGAUCGGGACAGUCUUGUCUCCAUUUCUCGCAUCUCUUGUCUUUCCAAUUCCACUCCCUCCUUCAGGGUCUGCAUUGACGUUCCUGCGGGACAGGGGAGUGUCACUGAGGCAUCUUCAGUAGGUGACAUUUUAUUAGGAGCUGGAGAACAUAAGGAGUCAGGUCUUCGGAGGUAAUUCCCUAUCCCGCAUCACCUAAGGCAUGCAAAUGCUCCUUCCUGUUUUAUGAACAGCUUUUUUGCAUACAGAGCUCAGUGAUUCAGGCAUCCAUUAUUGCCCUUCUCCCUUUCCCAAUGUUUCCAGUGAGCAUCCCUUGGGUCUUUCCCCAUCCCUCCCAAGACUGUUAAAACAGACUGCCCUCAAGACCCCAGGUAAGGGCUCAGCCCACUGAGCCAUGUGUCUGAGUAAUAAAGUUCAUUUUACUUCA